CUUUAAUUUCUAUUGGUAGUAAAAUAAAUUUUAAACCUCCAUAUAAUGGCGGUCUUUAUAUAUUAGAGAAACUCGCUUUAUAAUCGACAACACUCGAUAAUUUUAACUUAAUUUUAACAUAGUCUAUAUACCGCCGUAUAAAUCUAUCUUAAUAGAUAAAGAUUAAAAAUUAUUUGUUUUAUAACUAAAAUCAGGUCAAGGUGUAGCCAAUAAUUAAGAAAAAGUAAGUUACAUUAAAAUUAAUUUAAGGAAGAAUAAUAAAUAAUUAAACAAGAAAAAGAAUUUAUUUGUACAUUAGAAUUAAAAAUUCUAUUAGAAUAAAAUUAUAAAGAUGC
rnacentral:rRNA from 1 species